GAGUUUGAUCCUGGCUCAGGAUGAACGCUGGCGGCGUGCUUAACACAUGCAAGUCGAACGGAGAUAACAUUUUCGAAGCGAUUAGUUUACUAAGAGCGGAGAUGUUGCUAUCUUAGUGGCGGACGGGUGAGUAACGCGUGGGUAACCUGCCUUACACUGGGGGAUAACACUUAGAAAUAGGUGCUAAUACCGCAUAACAGUAGGAGACGCAUGUCUUUUACUUGAAAAUUCCGGUGGUGUAAGAUGGACCCGCGUCUGAUUAGCUUGUUGGCGGGGUAACGGCCCACCAAGGCAACGAUCAGUAGCCGGCCUGAGAGGGUGAACGGCCACAUUGGGACUGAGACACGGCCCAAACUCCUACGGGAGGCAGCAGUGGGGAAUAUUGGACAAUGGGGGAACCCUGAUCCAGCGACGCCGCGUGAGUGAAGAAGUAUUUCGGUAUGUAAAGCUCUAUCAGCAGGGAAGAAAGAAAUGACGGUACCUGACUAAGAAGCCCCGGCUAACUACGUG
rnacentral:rRNA from 1 species